GAUGAAGAACGUAGCGAAAUGCGAUAAGUAAUGUGAAUUGCAGAAUUUAGUGAAUCAUCGAAUCUUUGAACGCACAUUGCGCCCCUUGGUACUCCAUGGGGCAUGCCUGUUCGAGCGUCAUUUACCCCCUCAAGCUUUGCUUGGUGUUGGGCGUCUGUCCCCGCUUCUGGCGCGGACUCGCCUCAAAAGUAUUGGCAGCGGUCACGUCGGCGUCUUCCCGAGCGCAGUAGUUUGCGCAUGACGGAACGUUCGAGAUGGGCCACGACCAUCAAGUACAUCCACCAGUUUGACCUCGGAUCAGGUAGGGAUACCCGCUGAACUUAAGCAUAUCAAUAAGCGGAGGA
rnacentral:misc_RNA from 1 species